UGGGGAAUCUUGCGCAAUGGGCGAAAGCCUGACGCAGCCAUGCCGCGUGAAUGAUGAAGGGUCUUAGGAUUGUAAAAUUCUUUCAGCGGGGACGAUAAUGACGGUACCCGCAGAAGAAGCCCCGGCUAACUUCGUGCCAGCAGCCGCGGUAAUACGAAGGGGGGCUAGCGUUGCUCGGAUUUACUGGGCGUAAAGGGCGCGUAGGCGGAUUGACAAGUUGGGGGUGAAAGCCCGGGGGCUCAACCUCGGAAUUGCCUUCAAAACUGUCAGUCUUGAGUUCGGGAGAGGUGAUGGAACUCCGAGUGUAGAGGUGAAAUUCGUAGAUAUUCGGAAGAACACCAGUGGCGAAGGCGACUCACUGGCCCCGAUACUGACGCUGAGGCGCGAAAGCGUGGGGAGCAAACAGGAUUAGAUACCCUGGUAGUCCACGCUGU
rnacentral:rRNA from 1 species